GGCCACGGCACGUUGAAACACCAGAUCCCGUACAAAGUUAAGCAACGUCGAGCCUGGUCAGUAUCUAGAUGGGUGACCUCUUGGGAAUACCAGGUGCUGUAA